UACAGAGGGUGCGAGCGUUAAUCGGAAUACUGGGCGUAAAGCGCACGUAGGCGGCUUGGUAUGUCGGGUGUGAAAUCCCCGGGCUCAACCUGGGAACUGCAUCCGAAACUGCCUGCUCGAGUAUGGGAGAGGGAAGUGGAAUUUCCGGUGUAGCGGUGAAAUGCGUAGAUAUCGGAAAGGAACAUCAGUGGCGAAGGCGACUUCCUGGACCAAUACUGACGCUCAGGUGCGAAAGCGUGGGGAGCAAACAGG
rnacentral:rRNA from 1 species